rnacentral:rRNA from 1 species
AUUGAACGCUGGCGGCAGGCCUAACACAUGCAAGUCGAGCGAGCGGCGGACGGGAUAGUAAUGUAUGGGGUCUGCCCGGUAGAGGGGGAUAACUACUGGAAACGGUUGCUAAUACCGCAUACUAGCGGAUAACCCAUAUGGGAUUAGCUAGUAGGUGGGGUAAAGGCGCACCUCGGCGACGAUCUCUUGCUGGUCUGAGAGGAUGAUCAGCCAAAAUGGGACUGAGAAACGGCCCAGACUCCGACGGAGGCAGCAGUGGGGAAUAUUGCACAAUGGGCGCAAGCCUGAUGCAGCCAUGCCGCGUGUAUGAAGAAGGCCUUAGGGUUGUAAAGUACUUUCAGCUGGGAGGCGUUACCCGCAGAAGAAGCACCGGCUAACUCCGUGCCAGCAGCCGCGGUAAUUC